rnacentral:rRNA from 1 species
CAUGGCAUGCCUUAGUAGCGGCGAGUGAGCGGCAAAGCUCAAAUUUGAAAUCUGGCUCUUUCAGAGUCCGAGUUGUAAUUUGAAGAAGGUAUCUUUGGGUCUGGCUCUUGUCUAUGUUUCUUGGAACAGAACGUCACAGAGGGUGAGAAUCCCGUGCGAUGAGAUGAUCCAGGCCUAUGUAAAGUUCCUUCGAAGAGUCGAGUUGUUUGGGAAUGCAGCUCUAAGUGGGUGGUAAAUUCCAUCUAAAGCUAAAUAUUGGCGAGAGACCGAUAGCGAACAAGUACAGUGAUGGAAAGAUGAAAAGAACUUUGAAAAGAGAGUGAAAAAGUACGUGAAAUUGUUGAAAGGGAAGGGCUUGAGAUCAGACUUGGUAUUUUGUAUGUUACUUCUUCGGGGGUGGCCUCUACAGUUUAUCGGGCCAGCAUCAGUUUGGGCGGUAGGAGAAUUGCGUUGGAAUGUGGCACGGCUUCGGUUGUGUGUUAUAGCCUUCGUCGAUACUGCCAGCCUAGACUGAGGACUGCGGUUUAUACCUAGGAUGUUGGCAUAAUGAUCUUAAGUCGCCCGUCUUGAACCAACGGGACCA